GGAUUAGUGGCGAACGGGUGAGUAACACGUGAGUAACCUGCCCUGGACUCUGGGAUAACCCCGAGAAAUCGGAGCUAAUACCGGAUAGGACCUUUCCUCGCAUGAGGUUUGGUGGAAAGUUUUUCGGUCUGGGAUGGACUCGCGGCCUAUCAGCUUGUUGGUGAGGUAAUGGCUCACCAAGGCGUCGACGGGUAGCCGGCCUGAGAGGGUGACCGGCCACACUGGGACUGAGACACGGCCCAGACUCCUACGGGAGGCAGCAGUGGGGAAUAUUGCACAAUGGGCGCAAGCCUGAUGCAGCAACGCCGCGUGCGGGAUGACGGCCUUCGGGUUGUAAACCGCUUUUAGUAGGGAAGAAGGGCUUCGGCUUGACGGUACCUGCAGAAAAAGGACCGGCUAACUACGUGCCAGCAGCCGCGGUAAUACGUAGGGUCCGAGCGUUGUCCGGAAUUAUUGGGCGUAAAGAGCUCGUAGGCGGUUUGUCGCGUCUGCUGUGAAAACUAGAGGCUCAACCUCUAGCCUGCAGUGGGUACGGGCAGACUUGAGUGGUGUAGGGGAGACUGGAAUUCCUGGUGUAGCGGUGGAAUGCGCAGAUAUCAGGAGGAACACCGAUGGCGAAGGCAGGUCUCUGGGCACUUACUGACGCUGAGGAGCGAAAGCGUGGGGAGCGAACAGGAUUAGAUACCCUGGUAGUCCACGCCGUAAACGUUGGGCGCUAGAUGUGGGGACCUUUCCACGGUUUCCGUGUCGUAGCUAACGCAUUAAGCGCCCCGCCU
rnacentral:rRNA from 1 species